rnacentral:rRNA from 1 species
GUCGAACGGAAGGUCGGGAGCUUGCUCCUGGUGGCGAGUGGCGAACGGGUGAGUAAUACAUCGGAACGUACCCAGGAGUGGGGGAUAACGUAGCGAAAGUUACGCUAAUACCGCAUAUUCUGUGAGCAGGAAAGCGGGGGAUCGCAAGACCUCGCGCUCUUGGAGCGGCCGAUGUCGGAUUAGCUAGUUGGUGAGGUAAAAGCUCACCAAGGCGACGAUCCGUAGCAGGUCUGAGAGGAUGAUCUGCCACAHUGGGACUGAAACACGGCCCAGACUCCUACGGGAGGCAGCAGUGGGGAAUUUUGGACAAUGGGGGCAACCCUGAUCCAGCCAUGCCGCGUGAGUGAAGAAGGCCUUCGGGUUGUAAAGCUCUUUCGGCGGGGAAGAAAUGGCAACGGCUAAUAUCCGUUGUUGAUGACGGUACCCGCAUAACAAGCACCGGCUAACUACGUGCCAGCUGCCGGGGUAAUACGUAGGGUGCGAGCGUUAAUCGGAAUUACUGGGCGUAAAGCGUGCGCAGGCGGUUUCGUAAGACAGACGUGAAAUCCCCGGGCUCAACCUGGGAACUGCGUUUGUGACUGCGAGGCUAGAGUACGGCAGAGGGGGGUAGAAUUCCACGUGUAGCACUGAAAUGCGUAUAGAUGUGGAGGAAUACCGAUGGCGAAGGCAGCCCCCUGGGUUAGUACUGACGCUCAUGCACGAAAGCGUGGGGAGCAAACAGGAUUAGAUACCCCUGGUAGUCACCGCCCUACACGAUGUCAACUAGGUGUUGGAAGGGUUAAACCUUUUAUUACCGCACCUAACGCGUGAAUUUGACCGCCUGGGGAGUACGGCCGCAGGGUUAAA